GAGUCCCUUUCUUCCGUGCCUCGAACGCCACGAGUCAUCAUGGGCACUGCAGAUGUGGAGGAGUUUUCCGGGGCGAUCUGCUUGUUCCCGGCCGCGCUGGUGUCAACUACCUCGAGCCACUAUGACCAUCCCAACCAAGCUCACCCCCCUGAACGAAUUGUUUGUGGAUCUGCAAAGGGGGAUUCAAUUAAUUUUCAGUUGUAGAAAAGGGAGAAGGGGGAUUCAAUUAAUUUUCCUCCUCAAGAUCAAAGAAACAAAAUCUUUGUGGCGAUGAUAGAAGGGGUUCACGACUUCACGUUAAUACACAGACUAUUGGUAAGGGCAUUAAAACAUAUAUCUGGUGUGAAAUGGUCGUACAUGCUUGAUUAGAAUAUUUUCAAGUGUUGUAGGUGUACGGCUGUGGGGAAACAUUUUCAUGGUCUAAUUUUCUAAUUAAUGUAUGCACGAGACAUGAAUCUUGGAUUCUAAACUUUUUCCUCGA